GUGUGAGCCACCAGGCCAGGUCUGUUAUUUCUUGAUUAUAUGUUAAACAAGAGGUAGGUUACUGGUGAGUUUUCUGAGACAGGGUUGGGCAAUUCCCAGAACUGAGGAUUCCUCCCCUCUUAGACCAUAUAGGGUAACUUCCUGACAUUGCCAUGACAUUUGUAAACUGUCAUGGUGCUGGUGGGACUGUCUUUUGGCAUGAUAAUGCAUUAUAAUCAGCAUAUAAUGAGCCAUGAGAAUGACCAGAGGGCACUUUCAUGACAUCUUGGUUUUGGUGGGGUUUGGGCAGCUUCAUCCUGUUUUAUCAGCAGGGUUUUUGUGACUUGUAUCUUGUGCCAACUUCCUAUCUCAUCCUGUGACUAAGAACACCUAACCUCGUGGGAAUGCAGCCCAAUAAGUUUCAGCUUUAUUUUACCCAGACCCUAUUCAAGAUGGAGUCGCUGUGGUUCGAACACCUCUGACAGGUGGAGCUAAGUGUAUGAAGAGAAUGCGAGAUCGCACCACUGCACUCCAGCCUGGCAGGAGAAUAAGACCCUGUCUAAAAAAAAUAAAAAUAAAAAAAUAAAUAAAUGAAAGAAAGAAAGCAAAAGAAAGAAAGAAAAAGGCUGGAAACAACCAAAAUAUCCGUCAAUCAGGCUGAUUGAAUAAGCUAUGAUCCACCUAUAUAAUGGAAUACUAUGCAGCUGCUAAAAAGAACAAGGAUUAUUUCUAUGUGUUGCUUUGGCGUGAUUGCCAGGAUACAGUGUUACAUGAAAAAAGUAAGAUGGAGAAAAUAUGUUUAGUAUACAGCCAUUUAUCCAAGAAAGGAGGGAGGGAACACACACACACACACACACACACAGACACCCCACAGAACUUUUUAAUUGGGAGGAUAUUUUUAACUGGUUACCUCUAAGCAAGGGGAGGUAGAGAAUGAGGUGGAAGGGCAAAGACAGAGUGUAGAAUUCUCUGCAAGCGGUUCACAAUACCAUUCCCUCCAUUUUUGUAAAUAUUUGGAAUCUUUCAUAAUGCAACUUUUUAUUUUUAAAUGAUUUUCCUUUCUUUACACUGGCCAGUGGACCAAAUGGCACAGAACAGAGCCACCACCAACCUAAAGCCUUACUUUGGGCUUUUCUGUGAGAAACAGCAAGCCUUUUGUUGUUUCUUGUUUCUAUGACUGAAUGACAUCUAUUUGUUCUGCAGCUUCGCUCACUCUAACUAACACACAAUCCCACCAUUUAUCUUCCAGGUCUUACCUUGGCCUUUCCUUCCUGGCUCAAAACCUGUGGGUUCACCUCACAGGUGAGCAACCUCCAGCUUGACCUCAAGUCCUUCUUUUACAAUACGUUCUCAAGGAGACAGAAGCCAAGAGUCUGGGCCCUGCCUCUUCCUUAGCUCCGACCCCAGGCUCACAAAGGAAUUGGAGGUACACUGGCAGUUCUAUAUGAUUGCUGUCCACUUAUUCUAUGAGCAAGGGGACACUUGUUUUGGCCCAGUGGUUUUCAUUAUUCUCCUUCUCCUCCUCUCCCUCCUCCUUCUCCUCUCCUUUCUCCUGCCACCUCUCUCCCCUCCUCACCCUCCUGCCUCCCCAACCUGCUGUUACAUAUGACUUCUAGUAAGUCUCCUUAAAAGGAAGAGAGGAUUUCCUUCUUUUCCCCUACCCCAUCCCACUGCCUGAAAUGUGGGUGCAAUAGCUGGAGCUCUAGUAGCCAUUUUGGACCCUGAGGACAAGAGUCACAUCCUAGAAGUGACAGAGCAGAGAGCUGGAGGAAGCCUGAAUCCCUGAUAAUUCUGUGGCAUCACCACACCACACCAGGCUCAGGCCACCUACUUCUGAACUUCAUAAAAGAUGUGAUAGUGUGGUCGGGCGUGGUGGCUUCUGCCUGUAAUCUCAGCACUUAGGGAGGCCAAGGCAGGUGGAUCACUUGAGGUCAGGAAUUUGAGACCAGCCUGGCCAACAUGGCGAUACCCUGCGUCUAUUAAAAAUACAAAAAUUAGCAGGGUGUAGUGGCGCACGCCUGUAAUCCCAACUACUUGGAGGCUGAGGCAGAGGAAUCGCUUGAACCCAGCAGUCAGAGGCUGCAGUGAGCUGAGAUCAAGCCACUCCACUUCAGCCUAGGUGACAGACUGAGACUCUGCCUCAAGAAAAUAAAUAAAUAAAAAUAAAAGAUAUGAUAGUAUUAGAGAAAUUAACUUCUAUUUAAGCCAUUGUUAUUUUAUGAUUAAAAAAACCCAAACAGUUUAAUCUAUCCUAAUUGAUAAGUCUUUACUCCCCAACAUCAGCUCAGGUGUGCCUCUGCAGGGCCCCAGACUACACUGAAUACUGUUCUGGCCAUAGGAAAAUCAGCUGGUUAUUGUGAACUGUGCUGACUCUUAGAGAUUCUGCCCAGAACAAAACGUGUCAACUCUGCUCACAUCGUGUUGACCAAAGCAAGUCAUGUGGCCAAAUCUUAUGGCAAUGGGGUGGGGAUAUAGAAUCCCCUCAAGGGGAAGAACAGGGAAUAUUUAGAAAUAAUAAUAUGAUCCAUCCUAAUAGUCAACAAAACCAAGGCCCAAAGAAGCAAAGUGGCUUACCUGAGGUUUUACAGACUACUAGGAGGCAGAGUUAGAAUCCUGGUUGAGGACUAGUAUGGUGGCUCAUGCCUGUAAUCCUAGCACUUUGGGAGGCCAAGGUGGGUGGAUCACCUGAGGUCAGGAGUUUGAGACCGGCCUGGCCAACAUGGUGAAACUCCGUCUCUACUAAAAAUACAAAAAUUAGCCGGGAGUGGUGGCAGGUGCCUGUAAUCCCAGCUACUCGGGAGGCUGAGGCAGGAGAAUCUCUUGAGCCUGGGAGGCAGAGGUUGUGGUGAGCCGAGACUGCGCCACUGCACUUCAGCCUGGGCAACAAGAGCAAAACUCUGUCUCAAAAAAAAAAAAAAGAACCCUGGCUGGGCUGAUUUCAACUCUAAUGCUCUUUCCUUUACACUUUACUAUGUCUCAAAAGGAACACUUGAUUUGGGAACACAUAAUGGCUUCGAAGAAGGCAGUGUUGGUGAAAUCAGGCUCACCUACUAGGUCUUAUUUCCAUGAUUUAUCCCUUUCCUGCAGUCUUCUUUGGGGCAGCAGUUAUAAUCGCCCUCUCUUCUCUUCCCCUCUUUUGAAGUCCAAGGUAUCAAAAUUUAUUACUACAGUGGAGACUAGGAAGUGCACCCCUGCCCAACUUGAGGAAGGAUAACAAAAUGUGUGGAGCAAUGUGUGAAAUAGCCUUCACAUGCGAACACAGAUAUUCCCAGAGGCAAAGGCAACACAGUGUGACCAUAUUGGGACCUUUCCAAUGAAUUCAGAUAUUUUAAGGAUAUAGACAAAAGUCAGGAGGAAAGGCAUAUUCCUAAGUGGUAUGCAGGAAAGAAUUAUGGGAUAUUGUGGGUCUUUACAUUUUUCUCCUGUGUUGUGAGCUGUUCUGGUUCCUUCAUCUUCCAAACCACUAAUUCGAUUUUCCACAUAACCAAUCCACCUUUCAGUAGUCAAUGUAUUUUAAAUAUUUAAAUUUGCACAGUUUCUUUUACUCCCAGAAACUUUUUAAAUGCUGUAACUGUAUCUCCUCAAGAGUUUUUUUUUCCUUUUUCAGUUAAUUUUCUUGUGUAAUUCUUCCAUUAGUUCAAUAGCAGCCACUUGUUCAACUAACAAAAAAAUGAGAAAAAAGAAAAAGAAGGGAAAGUAAUAAAAACUCUAAUAAAGAAAAAGCAUAAAAUAAAAUUGGUAGGAAUAAAAUUGAGAAUAUCAGUUAUAAUACCAAGAGAAAAGAUGGUCAAAGUAAAUUUAUAAAACAAAAUAUCUUAUAUACAAGCAUAUACUUAUAGUUAAACAGUAAAAAGCGUAGAAAAUAAAGGGAUGGAAGAAAAAUAAAGUAGUAGUGGUGAUGUUAGUAUCAGAUAAAAUGAAAUUUAGGAUCAAAGACAUUCAAUUGGUCAAAGAGGAACAUUACAUAAUGAUAAGA
rnacentral:lncRNA from 1 species